AAAGAAGAAAUGUAUUUACUUAAAUUUUUUUUUCUUCAUAUUCAACAAUAAAAUGCUUUGACCAAACCAAGUUACAGGUUUAGGCAGCGAUAAUAAAGAAGCGUAAAGAUGAAGUUCAGACAACGAUAUACUUGGACUUCAUCAGAUAGUUUAUGUAAAAUAUAUAUUUCUUUUCUUAUUACCUAAAAUAACUCAUGUAUUAAUAGUGCCAUGUUGCAUAUCUUCUUUGGUAACACUUUACAAUGAUUGGCUUAAAGUCAUUUAUAAGCCAAUAGUUAAUAAAGAACCAAUCAUUUUAUAUGAUUGUCCUUUGUUGCCAUACCACACACAC